rnacentral:rRNA from 1 species
UACAGAGGGUGCGGGCGUAAUCGGAGUUACUGGGCGUAAAGGGCGCGUAGGCGGUUAUAUAAGUGAGAUGUGAAAUCCCUGGGCUUAACCUAGGAACUGCAUCUCAUACUGUAUGACUGGAGUAUUGUAGAGGGUAGUGGAAUUUCCGGUGUAGCGGUGAAAUGCGUAGAGAUCGGAAGGAACACCAGUGGCGAAGGCGGCUACCUGGACAAAUACUGACGCUGAGGCGCGAGAGCGUGGGGAGCAAACAGG